AGAGAUAAAACGCUUAGAGCUGGAUUGUACGGCCCUUAUUUCUGUUGGACAGCCAAGAGUGACCUUUCUAUGAUUGAGUCUUUGAGGGCUCUGAAAAUGUAACCUGUGUUUGGGCCUGAAGGUCUUUGUUUUACUUCAAAUGGACUGUUGGAGAAGGAUGAGUAGAAAAAUUGGACCUGGGACUCUUGAGCUCUUACCUCUGCCUUGGGAACAGGGAUGGUGCAAGGUGCUGAGCCGGGGACCCAGGAGCCUGCAGGCCUUGCCCUGCCAAAGGUAAUUCACAUUUCUCUUAC
rnacentral:lncRNA from 1 species